AAUGAACAUGUAAUAUGUACUAUUCCUCUUAAUGUUAUGCAGUACUAGUAUUGGUAUCAAUUAUCAAAAAUAUAUCAAUUAUCAAAAAUGUAUCAAAUGUAUCAAAUAUAUCAAAAAUGUAUCAAAUGUAUCAAAAAUAUAUCAAAAAUGCAUCAAAUGUAUCAAAUAUAUAUCAAAUGUAUCAAAAAUGUACAAAUGUAUCAAAAAUAUAUCAAUUAUCAAAAAUAUAUCAAUUAUCACAAAUGUA
rnacentral:lncRNA from 1 species